UGAACAACGGAGAAUGCUCGGCGUCGCUGCUGUUGACUUUUACUCCGAACGAGACGGCACCAAUAGUUGACGUGGAUGUAAGACCACAAUUUCAGGAAUGUGAUUGUGUAAACAGUGCAAAGCAAUCGUCCAACUAGAAAUUACUGGAAUCAUUAUGAUCAACGACAAAUUACAGAUAUGAAGCAGCAACGCCUGAUUCCAUCUUAUUCGUUCCUGAACGUUGAAAAUGAUUCAGUUGAUGAUUACAACAACAAAUACAACAUUUUCCUUAAAUUUUUAAUUUACCUUAGCCAAAAGCUUCUCAACCCAGAGAGUAAACAGUAUGUGAACAUUGAUGUCUGAUGUAAAACACAAAAAGAUAAACAGAUGGAUUCUCAAUACUGAACUCAGCCGUGCCGCCGUUAAGUACUAUUAUCCAUUGAAUGGGAUCAAUACGGAUUCCAUAUCUAGAUACAAAUGAAUAAAUGAUAAUAUAUAACACCUGUUCUCAUGACAACAAAAGUGUUCCAAGUAAAACAAUGAGAAAGUUGUUUUCUUUAUACUUGAGCAAAUUUUCCAGAGAAAGUCUGAGUCCUCCCAUAAACAGCAGUAAGAAACCCCAGUUGACAAGUCCUGUGAAGUCACGAAACUCUGAAGACCAUGAAAACAAUGAAUCCCUAGGCUUGUGACAUCUUUAUAAAAAAAAACGUUAUAAUGAUAUUUAGCUAUGAGAAAAUGCAUGAUUAUUAAUUACGGUUUAUCUGGUUGUGAUUUCCUGACUUUUUCAGCUUCUUUGGUGAUUUCUUCUGCUCUGGCUACAGAUUUCGUUCUUCUCAGCCUCAGAUUUUGCCUCCUGUCAUCAACCAGGUAGGUGACAGAUUUUUUUCCAUCUAUUUCAUCUUUUGACAAACUGUUGACUGUUUGUGUUGGAAUAGGUUCUGAGGGUUCUAUCCUGGCUUCACCAGCACCCUCACUUGGAGGCAGCAUUUUGAAUUGCCUUGCAAAAAAAAUCAUUACAUAAUGAAUUAUACAGUUUACAGAAACAAAGUCUUAAAUUAUUUAAGGAAUUGGGACCUACUUUUAUUUUUUUAUAAGAAAAAAAGUGAUGUAACAGUACUUUGUUUAAAUUCCGUUUUGCAACAGGGUGCCAACUGAAUGGGUGGAUGUUGAGCUGUUGGUUAAUUGCGACGAUUUCCACUGCUAUUUCUGAGACGAUGUGAUGUCUAUGACUAAUCGCUUGUUGAGAUCAAUAUGUUGGUGUUGACUCGUGUCCUCGUCGAUCCAUGGAGCUCGAAAGAUAAGGCCGGUAGGAUAUGUAAA